rnacentral:rRNA from 1 species
UAAGGAAUAUUGGCCAAUGGACGAAAGUCUGAACCAGCCAUGCCGCGUGAAGGAUGACGGCCCUCUGGGUUGUAAACUUCUUCUAUCUGGGACGAAAAAAGAUCAUUCCUGCUCACUUGCCGGUACCAGAGGAAUAAGCACCGGCUAACUCCGUGCCAGCAGCCGCGGUAAUACGGCGGGUGCAAGCGUUAUCCGGAUUUACUGGGCUUAAAGGGUGCGUAGGUGGGUCUGUAAGUCAGUGGUGUAAUCUUCGAGCUUAACUCGGAAACUGCCAUUGAUACUAUAGGUCUUGAAUCAUCUGGGGGUGAUCGGAAUAUGUCAUGUAGCAGUGAAAUGCUUAGAUAUGACAUAGAACACCGAAUGCGAAGGCAGCUCACUACGGAUGUAUUGACACUGAAGCACGAGAGCGUGGGGAUGAAGCA